UCUUUUGUCCUAGAGCUGCAGACAAAAUGUGGCCUCAUAAUCAGAGCAUCACCCCACUGUUUCAUUCCCUGGUUUUAGCAGUGCUCCAAGGAAGCAUCAGCUAAACUCCAGGUCACUGCCAUGCCUGAUAGGUAUCAGAAGAGAAACAUUGAUUCAAUCAGAGGCUUGCAUGGUUGUUUGUUAUAAAAUACACAUCAAAUCACAGCUGCUCAGUAAUCAUCAGGAGACACAGCCUAUGGGGCUGUUUUCCCCUGUUCUUGGUGUGUUUCUUUCCUGGUGCUCUGCUCACAAACCAUCCACAGUGACUUUAGGGGAUGGCUUCCUGUUAGUUGACACUGCAAGAACUCCUAAAACCCCUUUUUAAUGUGACUUCAUUAAAGUGGCAUGUGGAAAAAUGCUGUGACAUUGCCAUCGUGACCACAAUUACAUUACAGUGAUCUGCUCUUUUUCCAAACAGCUUGCAGCGGAUGUGAGCUGAAGGGUGCAGGAGGCAAAGCUCUGCACGUGGCCACCACCCUAGCUUCAACAACAGUGACUGCUAGGCAAUGGAAAAUUGUUGGGUAAUUAUCUGAAAUCCAAUACAGGCAAAGUCUUGGUUUUGUGUGACAUACCAGGUGAUGUCUGGAACUGCUCAGAAUUUUGCUGUGUGGAACAUGGAAUAUUUUCCAGGUUAAAGAAACAGUGAUGGGGAGAUGAAACAUGAAUGUCUUCUUACUGGUAUUUUCAACUAGUCAUCAGUGUUUUUAGGUUAUAAGUGAUGCAGAGAUAUAAAUAUAGAUCUAACAUCAUGAAACUGCUUAAUAAACUGCAAUUAUUUCCUUAGGUGCUGAACAAUUUAAGACUCUCACCUCUUCAGCAGCUCUGAAAAUACCUAGUUUUGAUUGCACAAAUGUGCAAUGUGGUACCCACUGGGAAAGUUUUCACUGGAGCAGUUUGACUGAAUCAUCCCCAAAUAAGCUUUUGAAAAUCAAGGUUCUCUACUUAUUGAAGAAAGUAAUUCCCAAGAUCCUGGCUUCCUCACUCUUGGGUGACUGAGGGAUCAGCUUCAGGAGCAUCUUUCACUACAGUUCUUGAGUCUCAGUGAUAAAAGGAGGUGAGAGAAUGAGAAAAAAAAAUCAACAAACUGUAAAACACAAAGCAAAAGAUGGAACAAAUAUGACUUUAGAAAACGUGGCAUUAGAAAAUGUGUGCAUGUGCCAUGUAUCUCUUGGGAUGCCUAUUUUGUUAAUAUGAUAUUAAUUUCAUUUUUAGCAGACUACAUUUUGUACAGGACCACAGUAAGAACAGGAGACUCUUGCUUCCAGUAAGCAGCACUGCUGUCUUGCUGCCUGGACUGUCUGAAGAAAACGAGUAACCAGGCCAUGGCUUCAGAUUAAUCUGAUUUUCAAAGAUUUUUCUUCACGCUGCAGUGAAUUGGAACUGUUAAGUGGUUCCAGAAGGUCACCGAACAUCAGAUGCUGAGUUCUGCUCAUCGCUAAUAAGACGAACUGGUGGAGGGUGCAAAGAGAUCUGUCACCGUUACAGCCCAUGCCAGACAAUAUUGACUCGUCUUUAAUUAGUCUUUAGAGGAGGCAGCAGUUUGUUGACAGCACCUUUAUGAAUUGGCUCAUAAAAAUAUUUUAUUAAUCCCAGCACAGGUCACAGCUACCAGAUAUUAACUGAACUGCUGUACCGUAGAAAGAGGGAGGACAGCUGUUGAUACCUGAAGAUAAAAUAGAAAGGAGGUUUCUUGGCUUUCCUGGAGGAAGCACCUUUUGGAUUGACCCUUACACAGCAGCCUAGUUUGGCUGCUUAGUUUGGAUGGGGCAUUUUAAGGCAUAUAAAUAAUAACACCUGUGACUCUGGCCUGCUUGCUGAACUUUGAACUUUGGUAGUGGGCACUGCCUUCCACAAGAGAAUCAAACCAGCAAAAAAGCAGAUGAUAUACAUCAAUAUCU